rnacentral:rRNA from 1 species
CCAAUAGCGUAUAUUAAAGUUGUUGCAGUUAAAAAGCUCGUAGUUGAAUUUCAGGCCUGGCUGGACGGUCCGCCCUUCGGGUGAGUACUGUCUGUGGUCGGGUCCUACCUUCUGGCGAAGCGUCAUGGCCUUAACCGGCCGUGGCGGGGAACCAGGACUUUUACUGUGAAAAAAUUAGAGUGUUCAAAGCAGGCAAUCGCUUGGAUACAUUAGCAUGGAAUAAUGGAAUAGGACAAUGGUUCUAUUUGUUGGUUUCUAGGACCGUUGUAAUGAUUAAUAGGGAUAGUUGGGGGCAUUAGUAUUCAAUUGUCAGAGGUGAAAUUCUUGGAUUUAUUGAAGACUAACUACUGCGAAAGCAUUUGCCAAGGAUGUUUUCAUUAAUCAAGAACGAAUGUUAGGGGAUCGAAGACGAUCAGAUACCGUCGUAGUCUUAACCAUAAACUAUGCCGACUAGGAAUCGGGCGAUGUUGACAAAAUGACGCGCUCGGCACCUCAUG